AUUGAACGCUGGCGGCAGGCCUAACACAUGCAAGUCGAGCGGAUGAGUGGAGCUUGCUCCAUGAUUCAGCGGCGGACGGGUGAGUAAUGCCUAGGAAUCUGCCUGGUAGUGGGGGACAACGUUUCGAAAGGAACGCUAAUACCGCAUACGUCCUACGGGAGAAAGUGGGGGAUCUUCGGACCUCACGCUAUCAGAUGAGCCUAGGUUGGAUUAGCGAGUUGGUUAGGUAAAGGCUCACCAAGGCGACGAUCCGUAACUGGUCUGAGAGGAUGAUCAGUCACACUGGAGCUGAGACACGGUCCAGACUCCUACGGGAGGCAGCAGUGGGGAAUAUUGGACAAUGGGCGAAAGCCUGAUCCAGCCAUGCCGCGUGUGUGAAGAAGGUCUUCGGAUUGUAAAGCACUUUAAGUUGGGAGGAAGGGCAGUAAGUUAAUACCUUGCUGUUUUGACGUUACCAACAGAAUAAGCACCGGCUAACUUCGUGCCAGCCGCCGCCGUAACAC
rnacentral:rRNA from 1 species